rnacentral:tRNA from 1 species
GCCCGCGUGGUGGAAUGGUAUACACAACAGACUUAAAAUCUGUCGCCGCAAGGCUUGUCGGUUCGAGUCCGACCGCGGGCACCA